GAAAGGAAACCAAGAGUUGAAAUUGUGGAGGGUAAGGAUGUUGACAAUACACACCGAGUUCUUCUUCGUCUUCUUUAUCUUUUUCCUGUUCCGAUUCUUUCUCUUUUGUCUUUUCUGUUUUUAUGUCUUUUUCUUGAGAAGGAGUCAAAGAAGAAAGAAGAGAAGUGGUGG
rnacentral:ribozyme from 13 species